CUACGGGUUGCAGCAGUGGGGAAUAUUGGACAAUGGGGGAAACCCUGAUCCAGCAAUGCCGCGUGUGUGAAGAAGGCCUGCGGGUUGUAAAGCACUUUCGGUUGGGAGGACUGCUUCUAGCACUAAUAUUGUUGGAAGUUGACGUUACCUUCAGAAGAAGCACCGGCUAACUCCGUGCCAGCAGCCGCGGUAAUACGGGAGGGUGCAUGCGUUAAUCGGAAUUACUGGGCGUAAAGCGCGCGUAGGCGGCUAGAUCAGUCGGGUGUGAAAGCCCCGGGCUUAACCUGGGAACUGCAUCCGAUACUGUCUAGCUUGAGUACAGGAGAGGAGAGUGGAAUUCCACAUGUAGCGGUGAAAUGCGUAGAUAUGUGGAGGAACACCAAUGGCGAAGGCAGCUCUCUGGCCUGAUAUUGACGCUGAGGUGCGAAAGCGUGGGGAGCAAACAGGAUUAGAUACCCUCGUAGUC
rnacentral:rRNA from 1 species